rnacentral:lncRNA from 1 species
UCCAAAAAGGAUAAUUUUCACCCACAAGCAGUGGUGGUCUAUUUCUAGAUGCACAUUCACCAAAGGUUUGAAAACUACAAGUCAUCAUCCAAGAAUAUAGUCGAUUCAAAGAAAACAGAAUUCGACUAGUUUUUCAAAUAUCUUAUGAAAACCAACUUUGGUGCCAAUUGUUGGAAACAUAAUGGCUUAGUUUCAACACCAAGAGGGGGCGCG